AAAUUGAAGAGUUUGAUCAUGGCUCAGAUUGAACGCUGGCGGCAGGCCUAACACAUGCAAGUCGAACGGUAGCACAGAGAGCUUGCUCUCGGGUGACGAGUGGCGGACGGGUGAGUAAUGUCUGGGAAACUGCCUGAUGGAGGGGGAUAACUACUGGAAACGGUAGCUAAUACCGCAUAACGUCGCAAGACCAAAGAGGGGGACCUUCGGGCCUCUUGCCAUCAGAUGUGCCCAGAUGGGAUUAGCU
rnacentral:rRNA from 4 species